CCUACGUGAGGCAGCAGUGAGGAAUAUUGGUCAAUGGCCGGAAGGCUGAACCAGCCAUGCCGCGUGAAGGUCAGUGCCCUAUGGGCGUUAAACUUCUUUUGUGCGGGAGCAAUAAUGGUCACGUGUGGCCAGACGAGAGUACCGUACGACUACGCAUUGGCUAACUCCGUGCCAGCAGCCGCGGUAAUACGGGGGAUGCGCGCGUUAUCCGGAUUUAUUGGGUUUAAAGGGUGCGUAGGCUGUGAGGUAAGUCAGCGGUGAAAUGCCCCCGCUCAACGGGGUGAAGUGCCAUUGAUACUGCCUUGCUGGAAUGCGGAUGCCGUGGGAGGAAUGUGUGGUGUAGCGGUGAAAUGCAUAGAUAUCACACAGAACACCGAUUGCGAAGGCAUCUCACGAAUCCGCGAUUGACGCUGAUGCACGAAAGCGUGGGUAUCAAACAGGAUUAGAUACCCCUGUAGUC
rnacentral:rRNA from 1 species